UACGUAGGCAGCAAGCGUUGUUCGGAGUUACUGGGCGUAAAGGGUGCGUAGGCGGCUUUUUAAGUUUGGUGUGAAAUCUCCCGGCUCAACUGGGAGGGUGCGCCGAAUACUGAGAGGCUAGAGUGUGGGAGAGGAAAGUGGAAUUCCUGGUGUAGCGGUGAAAUGCGUAGAUAUCAGGAGGAACACCUGUGGUGUAGACGGCUUUCUGGACCAUAGCUGACGCUGAGACACGAAAGCGUGGGUAGCAAACAGG
rnacentral:rRNA from 1 species